AGGGAAAACAAGCACCGACACAACCGCCCGAUUUUCCCAUAUCCCUUAAGUGCAGGUUUUCCUGGGUUGACCCAUUCACUUUCAUUGUAGUGUGGCACCUGGGCAGUCCGAUUUGGCUGUGGGGAGUCGAAAAAAUCCUAUUAUAUUUCUUUUCUUUGCCUCCGGGCAGACCGAAUAGGGGAGUGAAUGGAGCGAAUCUUAUAAGAAAGUAAACUUUUCUCCUGUGAGGAGUGGGCUGGGAACGGCCUUUGAGUUUCACUGUACGAAAUGUGGCCUUAUUAGCGCUUAACUGGAAGCGCCUUCCCGCCGCCUCCCCGGCGUCCCAGCUCUGGCGCUGUCCCGCCCUCUCGGAGGUGGCCGCCUGUGGGCGCUGGGAAAGGGGACUUACUUUCUCCUGUACCAAGAACCGCCCCACUAGCUACCACGGUGUGCAACUCAGAAAACUGACCCCGAACGAAAAGCAACCGGCCUUCGGCGGAGACGCCGUGUCGUGGUCCUCGCCGAAAAACUGGCCCCGACCUACAGGCCCCGGCUCGUCCUCGGCGGCCAGCCGCCCUCGGAGCGCCGCAGCCUCCCAGCCCCACGCCAGCCAGGCCGGCCCCCGCGGCCGCUCGGAAAACGCGGCGAGCGGAACCCGCACGCGGAAGCGCCGGGCGCACUGAGCAUGCCCAGUUGCAGAGCCGACCAGAGGAGUUUUUUUCUUUUCUUUUCUUUCUUUUUUCUUUUUUUUAAUCUCAAGUAGCAGACCUCCCCCCCCCCCAAGCCCCACGCCCCCCCCCCCCCCCCCCCCCCCCGCCUAAGCAGCUACCAUGGCUGAGGUCCCCGGCGCGGUGUUGUCCCAGGCGGGUUGGUAUCUUUCAGAUGAAGGCAUUGAAGCUUGCACAAGUUCACCUGACAAAGUCAAUAUAAAUGACAUCAUCCUGAUUGCUCUCAAUACAGAUUUGAGAACAAUUGGCAAGAAAUUCCUCCCCAGUGACAUCAAUGGUGGAAAGGUAGAAAAGCUUGAAGGUCCAUGUGUUUUGCAAAUUCAGAAAAUUCGCAACGUUGCUGCACCAAAGGAUAAUGAAGAAUCUCAGGCUGCACCAAGAAUGCUGCGUUUGCAGAUGACUGAUGGUCAUAUAAGUUGUACAGCAGUAGAAUUUAGUUACAUGUCAAAAAUAAGCCUAAACACACCACCUGGAACUAAAGUUAAGCUUUCAGGCAUUGUAGACAUAAAAAAUGGAUUCCUGCUCUUGAAUGACUCUAACACCACAGUUCUUGGCGGUGAAGUAGAACACCUUAUUGAGAAAUGGGAGUUACAGAGAAGCUUAUCAAAACACAAUAGAAGCAAUAUUGGAACUGAAGGUGGACCACCUCCUUUUGUGCCUUUUGGACAGAAGUGUGUAUCUCAUGUCCAAGUGGACAGCAGAGAACUUGAUCGAAGAAAGACAUUACAGGUUACAAUGCCUGUCAAGCCUCCAAAUGAUAAUGAUGAAUUUGAAAAGCAAAGGACUGCUGCUAUCGCAGAAGUUGCAAAGAGCAAAGAAACCAGGACAUUUGGAGGAGGUGGUGGUGGUGCUAGAAGUAAUCUCAACAUGAGUGCUGCUGGAAACCGAAAUAGGGAAAUUUUACAGAAAGAAAAGUCAAACAAAUCAGAGGGAAAACAUGAAGGUGUCUAUAGAGAACUGGUUGAUGAGAAGGCUCUGAGGCACAUAACAGAAAUGGGUUUUAGUAAAGAAGCAUCAAGGCAAGCUCUCAUGGAUAAUGGCAACAACUUAGAAGCAGCACUGAAUGUACUUCUUAACAGCAAUAAACAGAAACCUGUUACGGGUCCACCUCUGAGAGGUAAAGGAAAAGGCAGGGGGCGAAUAAGAUCUGAAGAUGAAGAGGAACUGGGAAAUGCAAGGCCGUCAGCACCAAGCACAUUAUUUGACUUUUUGGAGUCUAAAAUGGGGACUUUGAGUGUGGAAGAACCUAAAUCACAGCCACAGCAGCUUCAUCAAGGACAACAUAGAUUGUCAAAUACUGAGCAAAACGGAGUAAAAGAUAAUCAGCCAAGAUAUCUUCCUCGAAAUGAUACCCGACAGCCAAGAAAUGAAAAACCUCCUCGUUUUCAAAGAGACACCCACAAUUCAAGGUCAAUUUUAGAAGGCAGUGGAUUACCUAGAAACAGAGGUUCUGAAAGACCAAGUACUUCUUCAGGAUCUGAAGUAUGGGCUGAAGAGAGAAUCAAGUGUGACAGACCAUAUUCUAGAUAUGAUAGAACUAAAGAUACUUCAUACCCUUUAAGUUCCCAACACAAUGAUGCUACAUUUAAAAAAAGGGAUAACUCUAUGCAAAGCAGAUCAGGAAAGGGUCCGUCCUAUGCAGAGGCAAAAGAAAAUCCACUUCUUCAAGAAUCCAUAGACUAUAAUAAUCAAAAACGUGGGAAAAGAGAAAACCAAACAGUAAAUCCCGAUCAUUUUUAUGACAGGAGACCACGAACAAUAAAUAAUGAAGCUUUUAGUGGUAUAAAAAUUGAAAAACAUUUUAAUGUAAAUACUGAUUACCAGAAUCCUGUCCGAACAAAUAGUUUCAUUGGUGUUCCAAAUGGAGAGACAGAAACGCCACUGAAGGGAAGGCGCGUAGGACCUAUUAAGCCAGCAGGACCCAUCACAGCUACACCCUAUGAAGAUAAAAUAUUUUACAGUAGUGGGCCCAAAAGAAGAUCUGGGCCAAUUAAACCAGAAAAAGUACUAGAAUCAUCUAUUCCUAUGGAGUAUGCAAAACUGUGGAAACCUGGAGAUGAAUGUUUAGCACUUUAUUGGGAAGACAACAAGUUUUAUCGAGCAGAAGUUGAAGCUCUUCAUUCUUCAGGUAUGACAGCAGUUGUUAAAUUCAUUGAUUAUGGAAACUAUGAAGAGGUGCUACUAAGCAACAUCAGGCCCAUUCAGACAGAGGCAUGGGAAAAAUAACCAAGAAGCCUGCAUAUAAACCAAAAACCUUUAUAGAAAUCAGUUGUCUAUAUUGUCUCUUAAAGGUGUAAGGAUAAAUUAUUAAAUAAAAAGCAUGAACUAUUAAGAGACUCAAUGACUAAGUUAAUAGUCUCUUACAUGGAAAAUUAAAAUAAAAAUCAAGUUACUAGUUUAAAUCUAAGUAUUAAUAUUUUUCUCAUGAAAUUUAAGAACUAUUUGCCUUAAAUCUGUCUGUAGACAAAUUUCUAUUUUCCCCUUCUAUCUGGAUAUACCUUUUCACUUCCAGAACAUACUCAGUGAUGAUAUUUUAGAUGAUGAAAAUAUAUGUUCUGAUUAUGAUUAAAUACUUUAUUUCCUCCAAAAUGAUAUACUGAACUUUUUAUGUCAUCUGUGAUUUUUUUUCUCCUAGCUAGAUUUAACCUGGUUCUUUUAACUAUGGUAAAAUAUUCUGUCUUAAUUUUAGUGUCUUUAUUAUGGUAAACUUCUAAUUAUCACACAUAACCAGAGACUCACAGCUCAUUCUUAACUGGAUAAAUCCUCUAGUUUUUUUUUUAAAUGUUCUUUGUAUAUUGCACGAUUUUCCUUAUUUUACUGAAGUAAAUGAAGCCUUAUGGAAUCUCUUAUUAUUUGUAAAACUAUAUAGGGAGAAAACCAUAAUAUUAUUUUAUAUUUCUGACCACUGUAUGCGAAAACAUUAGGCACAAAGGAAACCUCUUUGUGUUUCCUGCAGGCCCUUUCCAAAUUUAUUCCUUUUAACUCUAAAACUAGUAUCAGGAAAUCAGUACAAAGAUGCCACAGGCAAUUUGGAAUUACUGUAAAAUAACCUGGCGCUGCUGCUCAGACAACUCUUUUGUGUUUUAGAGUGUUGUUGCUUCUCAGUUACUUUUCUAAACCUGGAAAGACAGUGUCAAGUCCUGAUUUUCCCAGAAUAUUUAUGACUUUUAUGCCUCUGAGACUUUUAUAUCCAAAGAAAUGUUUUAGAACAUGCUGAUUUCUAAACUUUCUUUUUAAAGGUCCACAGUAUUUUGGUAUCAGGAAACAAUCUUUGUUCAGCUAGCGUUCCAAUUAGAAAAAUUAUGAUUGUGUAGAUAAUGGUUAGUUCUAAGACCUUAGCGUACACAUCAUCUUGGCAAUAAUUCUGGAAAGUGACAGAUGGAUUGUUAUUGUCUUUUAACCUAGCUUAAAUGUUUUUCUGUAGCAUAUUUAUUCAGCAGAUAUUCAUUGUAUUUCUGUUAGGUGCUGGGCAUUGUUCUGGGUGUAUGUGUUAGUACUCACAACACACUAAAGUCCUGCCCACUACACAAAGUUAGAAGAAAGUUAUAUUUCCAGUUAUGUGAAACAAACUUAAAUAUCUCUCGGGAGUCUUCAUUCUUACCUCUUGAAGCUUUAAAACAAGAUAUAAGUGGGAAAAAAUUGUUUACUAAUGUUUUAAUUUAAAUAAUGUUUAGGUCUUUAUUUUAUUUCACCUUAUUUGAAUCUAAAAUUAUUACAGAAGAAGAAAGUGUCAUUUAAUGAAUUUUAUCUAUUUUAUAUAUUUAAAAAGUAAAUUUCUUUUUAGGUGGGUUUGGGUUUCUUUUUAAAAUAAUUAUAAUAUAUAUUUUUACAGUUUUAGCAUACUUUAAAAAAAAAGAACUAUCAGUCUCAAGUUUUACUUUUGAAUAACUUUGUACGAAAUUUAUUUUAUAAUGACAUGCUGGGAAACACAUUUGAAAAUUACCUUUUCAAAUUCAAAGAAUGUUCCUAAAAAGCCAUAAAGUAUUCUGCCACUAAUAAAAAUAUUAAAGAGAAACAUAUCACACACACCCCAAAACCCCUAACCUAUUUAAUGAGGAAGGAGAUUGAGAGUUGUGAUAUGUAAACUAAUGAGUUAAAAUGGAUCCUAAAUGUAUUAGAACAAGGUCAUGUUAGUAAUUUUAAUGAUAUAGUGAUAAAGUUAGGCUGUAUCUAGUUUGUAUUAGAUAUCAAAAGAUCAUAAUAGAUAUUAAAAAGAGAACAAUUGUUAUAGAAACCAUUAACUUCAAAGGGAAAUUAGAAUUAUUGUAAACAGUGAGGUUCUGCCAAUUAGUAUCCAGUAAAAAGUGCAAGCACCUAUUUGACUGUAGUCCAGAAGGUUUUUCAUUUCUGAUAAUAAAUUCUUAAAUAAAUUAGUGGGUAUAAUUUGCCAUACUUAAACUUCUGCACUAAAAGCAUAAUUUGAGUAAGGUCAGUGAAAUGCUGAAAUACGUUUUCUUCUGCUAUACAUAUUUUGGGACAGUUCCCUUUCAGAGAUUGCUCAUUUUCUUUUGCAGUAUAAACAGAGAGUAAAUCAAAAGGAAAUUGUACAGCUAGUUUAGCGCCAUUUAAGAACAUAAUUUUCAGAUUAUAGGUGAUGGAAUUUGGAGGCUUCCAUGCAGUAUCUUUAAGCUCUGUUUUAAUAAAGUUUGGUUGUAUUUGAUAUGCUUUAUUUAUUUCUUAAUCUAUCACCCAGCUUUUCACAAUUCCUACAGGAGGUUAUGGACUAUACAAAAGGACUUUACUAGAGAUAUGAAAGCUUCUGACAUAGAGGGAGAGAUGAUUCAUUCAUAAAUGCAUGCCAUAUGCAUUGAUAUAUAUCAACUUAAAAACUAUUGACCUCCGCCCCCUGAAUCCCAAAAUCAGUUUGUGAAUUUAAGAUUGUUAUGAAACCUACGAGAUUAUUAUGAAAAUCUUGAGAUCAAUUUUGAACAGGCUACAUUGUUCGAGACAUUUUAUUUCACCAUUUAAAUUAAUACUAAGAAAAUAGUAUGCUAUUUUAAGAACCUGUACAAAAGUACUGCUUGAAUUUUGCUAUCUGAUAAUUUAAUAUAUUGUAAUCUAUUCAAAGGAACUGUAUAUAAAAAAUCUUUAAAAAGUUUCUGGGUAAUCUGAGUUUUCCUUUAUUGACCAAUGAAACUACAUCAUGUUAUUAUUUCAUGUUACUUUUUACUGAAGGUAAAAUAUUUCCCAAAGUGAAAUAACAUGGUAGGGUAUUACCUAAGAUGUGCUGUCUUUUUGAUUUGUUUCUAACUUUAACUACAAUUCUUAAAACAAUUUAAGCCUUAUAUUCUUUGAAUAUUAAGAAUCAAUUUAGCAUAACUGUUUGAAAAAUCUAUAGCAUUCUUUUUUGCAUAAAUGAAUAAUACCAGUAGCGAUUAUGUUAAUCUUUUAUCUUCUAAGUCUCCCCUUUAUUAAUAGCAGUUUAAAGUAUGAACUCCGGAAUCAUGGUGCUGGUCAAUUGAGGAGUAAAUUCAAGAUGCUUUAGAUUUAUGCUAAAUAUUGUGUAAUUUUGAUUUUUUUCUUCAAAGUAGUCUUAAGGAGGCAUCAUGGGUGUGAUCUAUAGCUGAAGGGGGCUAGGAUUGUCAGAUGAACUUAUUUUUUCCUUUGACAUUUUUGAUUCAAUCGAUCCAAAGUUUGUUUUAUUUCAAGUGUAAAUUUUAUUUUUUCAUUUACUUAUUGGGACUUUUAAAACUGUAAUUUCAAACUGCACUGAAUUUUACCAUUCCUUCACAUAUAUAUGCAGGAGACUUGCUAAUAUACUCAUUGCACAGGAAAUAAAGUAGUAAAAUAAAUUAAUCUGAGGAAUAUUUUUGUUUUGUUUCAUUUCUUGUUCCCCAAAAUGUUAAAAUCUUGUACUGGGCAUGUGCCUUAACUAGGCACUCAUGUCAGUAUAUUUUAAAAAAUCUAAAGAGGCAUCCUUCUUGAAUUAAAAAACAAAAACAAAAACCCAGCGCAUGUAGUUCUGUUUUAGUUUGUAGUGAAUUUCUGAGCCUCUUCCAUCUGUACCUAAAAAGGCAGAAAAAUAUGUUGCUCACUGCACCGCAGAGUUUAUUACCUUUCAGAUGGAGGUAAUACAAUGCAUCUUUCCAAUUCUGAAGUCAGUGGUUGUGAACCUUGAUGGUGACGGGCUGAAAGGGGACUUAUGAUACAUAUUUGAUUGCAUACCAUAAUGAGUCGUCAGUUGUCCAUUUUCUUUUUUAACCUUAUGUGGUCAUUUGUGUUUUUCAGUGCUCUUGCAUAUAUCUUAUUUAUUAGUCAUCUCUGUAUGUUUUCAUUCUGUUUCUUAAACAUCAUUGUAUCCUUUUGACUUUGUUUUUUAAACUUUAUUUUGUUUUACCUUGAGUGGGUGGUAUCUUUUGAUGUGUUUAGUCACUCUUCCUACUGAUCCUAAUUUCCUGAACUUUACUGGACCUUUGCUGUUUAUUCUAGAAUCAUGUGCAGUAGGCUUCACUAUCACACCUCUAGGAAAAGAGUGGAGUUGAUCUCUCUCCUUGUGAGAAACACUCUGGUGUUAUAGCUUCCAGUUCCAUUAAACUUGAGAACUAAUGGCAAGAGUUUUACACCUUGGCUUGAAAUAACUCCUUUAGUAGUUGCCUGUCAUUGGCUGAGAGCUCCAUUCAGAAGGGAUAGGAAGUACUGCAACAGUGAGUACAUUUUAUUUGCCUCAAAAAACAAACAAAAGAAUCCCUUAUAGUUUAAGAGUAAACAUAAUGAUGAUGUUCUAGUUAAGCAGCUCAGAUUAUCAUAAGAAUUAAAAAAUUAUUUUCUCGUACAUACGUCUUCAUGCCUAGUCCAUCUAGCUCAGGGUUAGUUCUGGUUCCUGGUUAAAUAAAUUUGGAAAAUGCUGGGUUAAAAAAUUAAGUACACUUUCUGAUUACAGGACUUCUUUGAGCCAGUAGGAGGUUAAUAUGUAUUUUAAAUCUCUGAGAGAGACAUAUAUAGUGUUUAUUGCUUCACAAACUUCUUUUCUCAUGGAACCUUUUUUUUUUUUCUUCUGUAUAAAAUCCGUUAUAGAAAGUCUACAGGAGGUACUUUGAAAAACAUCGUAGCUCUUUUAUCAUCUCUUUUCUAGUUCUCAAAUUUCCCAUUUUUAAAAUAAGGUGAAGAUUUAUUUUAAGAAACAUCCAUUGUUUUGGAUGUUCCAAACAUCUUCUUAAUAAUGUAAUAUUGUAUUUUUAUGUUACAAAUAGAGAGUAAAUAUAUAAAAGGCAGUUUCUCCUCAAACAUGUUCCAAGAUUUUUUACCUUUCUAUGAAUAGAGGACAAUAUAUAUUUCUGAAAUUUUAUGUCUCUUCUAAGUACUUAUGCCAUUAGUAGUAGUGUUUUAUUACAUAAAAAUAAAAUUGAGAUCCUUCUUUUACAUAUAAUUAUGCACAACUCACUGGUCUUUUAAUUUAAUUUUAACUUUAAUUCUAGAAACUUUUAUAUAUUAAAUUAACUUUUUGAAACUGUCAUUUAUAAAGACUCCCAUUGUAGCUUUUAUAGUAUUGCUGUUUCUUUUCUGUAAUUCUUGCCUAAUGACCCAUGUGAUAUUUAUAUGUUCCAGCAGUAAGACAUUUUCAUCAUUUGUUUGGGUAUUAUAUUUGUUAUUCUUCAAUAAUCUAGUCUAAAGCAAAAUCUGAAAUCCCGUUUUUUGUUAAACUGACAUUGGCUACUGAAUCAUUAGAAGGUAUCAAAGCAAGUUAAUUCCAGUGAGUAUGUGGGCAUUCCUAAAUGAAGAAGAGGACUCCGAAAAGACCAAAAAUUCUGUUUUGUUUCAACAUUUGUGUUGCUCCUUUACUAAUAGGCUAGUGUGUUCUGAAGCCUUUGAAUAGUAUUAUUUCAGUUAAUUAAAAGCUUGUUAAAAGCCUCAAAGGAAACAAACUAGUAAACGUAACUGCUCUUGAUCUUCUGUUCAAGAAAUCGAAAGAUCUCUCAUUUUCCUGGUUACGUUUAUUAAGAUGAAUUGAUAAUCUUGGAUCUAACUCCAGAGCUCACUUAAGAGAUCUGGAGGGGAAAAAAUUCUUAUUUUAAGAAACACGUCCUUUCCAGGCACUUACAAUUAUAAACAAGGGUGUAAUGUAUGGUUGGAUAAUAGCUAGUGAAAGUGCAAAGGAAUUCUAUAAAUAAGUAGUAGAUAUAUACUGUAAGUACCAUCUGUUUUAGAGCUUGAGGGGAUUUGAUUUUAAGUGACCGUAUGAACUGACUUGGUGGCUAAAACAGUGGAAAGAGGUCAGUAAUUAUUUGUUGAAUUAUUAAUGCAGUCUUGGUGGUCACCUUUAUUACUGAUGAGUUCUUCAGACAUGAAACCUCAGUAUACCAGUUUAAUAUGAUAGUUUUCCCACAAGUAUUCUGAGUGCUUUUUCUAGCAAAGCUACUUUAGAAAAUAGAUUGGCCUAUAUACCCAAGGAAUUAAAAGGAUAUAAACCAAGUAGAAGAUAAAUUUCCUUCCUUCCAGAAGUCACUUAAUAGAUACUAAUAAGGCCUCUAUCUGACUAGGAUGGUUCCAGUCUGGGAAUCAGUAUUGGCAUGGUUCUUGAGUAUAAUUUUGUUAUGCCUGUUAAAUGAAUGAGAUGGUGUGAAGGAAGUAAGUGGGGAAGGCCAUAGUUGGCUUUUUAAAACUAGUAUUAACUUUGACACCUUUUUAUUGGAAUUUUUAUUUUCCCUGAAGUGUGCUCAUUUUCUUCCCCAGAUCAUGUGAUUGGGAAAUCAGGGUCAUCCCUCCUGGUCAUGCUUAACCAAGAGCUUAUUAUACAAAGUAAGAUAUUAGAAGUCAGUUUAAUUCUGUUUCUAUAUGGUUCAAAUUCUAAAAUUUAUGGACUCAUUUUUUUUAAUGUUAGUAGCCAUUUUUGAUGCUAUUUAAUGAAUAAGGAGAAUAUAAUGAGCAGUUUAUCUUAAAAAGGUUUAAGUAAAUAAAUGACUUAAAAUAAUGUGGAGAAAAGUGUAUUUUUUUCCUUCUAAAGUGGUCAGGUAAUAUAAAUCUUAUUAAGAAUUCCUGAAUUUGACCAUCAGUACUCAAACGAAAGUUGUACUUAAUUAGAUUUUUAAAAAUUGGAAUUGAAGUCUUAAAGCAAAGAGAAAAGGGAGACAGAUCAAGAACUUGAGAGUAUUAGUUCAGAAAGCCUCUAAAAGCACUGGGCACAAAUAAAGAUAUCCCUGGAUGAUCUUUUAUAUGCCCUGAUUAGUGUUAAUGCAUACUAAGCACUUGACCUUACUGAUAGUAGUUCUCAGUUAGAGACUGAUGUAGUGGAACUGAUUACAAAAUGAUGUAAAAAUGGUAAAACGUUGGUCACAUGCCCAGCCCUUUUAAAUUGUAUCUUUGUAUUCUUAGGAAAUAAACAAAGCAAAGAAAAAAUUCUCAUUGAAUAUAUUUAAAACUUAAAUGUCCAGAUGAAAAAUUAAAAUGUAUAAUUCCCUAAGAAAAAUUAAGAAACGACACAAGAAACUUGAGACUGAGGAUUCUAAAUUUUGUUUUAGAAAAUUACUUAUAAAAGGCUACAAUGGAAGCAUUUUAGAUAUAAUUUAGAAGUGAAUAUAAGAUUUACAUUUCAAGAAGAUGAUAUGCAUAUUUUCCUAUUGAUUUGUUGAAAAUACUUAAAAUUGGCUAUGAAAAGACUGAAUAUUCUGUUCAUUCUAAUGAUUAUAAUUGCUUUAAUUAUAGUAAUGACUGAGGGAAGAUAUUUAAGAUAGGGAAAAAAGUAACCACAGAGUAGGUUAAAUGUACAUUUGGUAUCUUGGUUCUUAAGCAUUUUUCAUAAUGGUGUAAUUUAAAAGGUUUGACUGAAACUGCUAAACAAAAUUUUUUUUAACAAAUUGCUUUAAAUAAUUUCAAUUACAAAAACAAGUUUUGCUUUCUGAAAUGAGGAUUGCUGUGCUUUGAAGUUUCAAUAAAUUUCACAUAAAUGGCGAACUAUAGCCAAAAAUAAGUCUUCUGACAUUGUCUACUGCUAGUCGCCAUUUGUGGGCCCAAGGCUGAGAAACAUUUUCAGGUUCUGUGUGCUUUAUCCUGAAAGAAUUUGAUGAAAAGCGGUCACUGAGAGAGUUAAUGUCUGCUCUGCUUGGCCUUUAAAAGAAGGGAAGAGGGCAAGGCCAGUCUUGGGCAAAUUACUUCCACCUCCCUUUUUGCCCCUGCUUCAGCUCCAGGGGAGCUGGAAAUGCACAGGAGGAGUCAGAAGACCUGGGUCGAGUCCCGGCUCUGCCACUUACUACCUAUGUGACUUUGGGAGGAAGAAGGCACCUACGACCAAACUCUUGAGUUCCGUAGAGGAGGUGAUGGCCAGCC